CGAACGGGUGAGUAAUGCAUCGGAACGUGCCAUUGAGUGGGGGUAACGUAGCGAAAGUUACGCUAAUACCGCAUAUUCUGUGAGCAGGAAAGCAGGGGAUCGCAAGACCUUGCGCUCUUUGAGCGGCCGAUGUCAGAUUAGCUAGUUGGUGAGGUAACGGCUUACCAAAGGCGACGAUCUGUAGCGGGUCUGAGAGGAUGAUCCGCCACACUGGAACUGAGACACGGUCCAGACUCCUACGGGAGGCAGCAGUGGGGAAUUUUGGACAAUGGGGGCAACCCUGAUCCAGCCAUGCCGCGUGAGUGAAGAAGGCCUUCGGGUUGUAAAGCUCUUUCGGCCGGGAAGAAAUCGCAUGGGUUAAUACCCUGUGUGGAUGACGGUACCGGCAUAAGAAGCACCGGCUAACUACGUG
rnacentral:rRNA from 1 species